rnacentral:rRNA from 1 species
UGGGGAAUAUUGGGGCAAUGGGCGAAAGCCUGACCCAGCAACGCCGCGUGAAGGAAGAAGGUCUUCGGAUUGUAAACUUCUUUUAUGAGGGACGAAGGACGUGACGGUACCUCAUGAAUAAGCUCCGGCUAACUACGUGCCAGCAGCCGCGGUAAUACGUAGGGAGCAAGCGUCAUCCGGAUUUACUGGGUGUAAAGGGCGUGUAGGCGGGACUGCAAGUCAGAUGUGAAAACUAUGGGCUUAACCCAUAGCCUGCAUUUGAAACUGUAGUUCUUGAGUGGUGGAGAGGCAAAUGGAAUUCCUAGUGUAGCGAUGAAAUGCGUAGAUAUUAGGAAGAACACCAGUGGCGAAGGCGAUUUGCUGGACACUAACUGACGCUGAGGCGCGAAAGCGUGGGGAGCAAACAGGAUUAGAUACCCUGGUAGU